AGAAACUUAGGAUCAACCAAACCGAAGGCCUUCAAAGCCUUAAAUAAGAGUUAAACCCUCUUAGUUUCUG
rnacentral:tRNA from 2 species